AUUGAACGCUGGUGGCAGGCCUAACACAUGCAAGUCGAACGGUAACAGGAAGAAGCUUGCUUCUUUGCUGACGAGUGGCGGACGGGUGAGUAAUGUCUGGGAAACUGCCUGAUGGAGGGGGAUAACUACUGGAAACGGUAGCUAAUACCGCAUAACGUCGCAAGACCAAAGAGGGGGACCUUCGGGCCUCUUGCCAUCGGAUGUGCCCAGCUGGGAUUAGCUAGUAGGUGGGGUAACGGCUCACCUAGGCGACGAUCCCUAGCUGGUCUGAGAGGAUGACCAGCCACACUGGAACUGAGACACGGUCCAGACUCCUGAGGGAGGCAGCAGUGGGGAAUAUUGCACAGUGGGCGCAAGCCUGAUGCAGCCAUGCCGAGUGUAUGAAGAAGGCCUUCGGGUUGUAAAGUACUUUCAGCGGGGAGGAAGGGAGUAAAGUUAAUACCUUUGCUCAUUGACGUUACCCGCAGAAGAAGCACCGGCUAACUCCGUG
rnacentral:rRNA from 1 species